rnacentral:lncRNA from 1 species
AUGAAAAGCGAAUUCUUCGCCGAACCGCUGUGUGACAGCAGGAAGCUAGGAAUUUUCAAAGUAUCCAAACUGUCAUUGACCAUUCACACAUGGCCUAUAUCAGAGAUAGUAACAAAGUUUGUCCGCCUUCCAUACGUAAAAGAUGAAACCAUACCUGUGAGAUAUAGGCGAGAAGAAUUUGUAGUAAUACCCAUGCUGCACACUAAAGUAGCGUCACCUAUUUAGCGCAUCAUUUGCCUGAAUGAAAGUAGAUGAACUUCGAUAUUUAUUUCAUAGAAGAGAACGACUCCUCGGAAAUUACUCAAAAUUUCUUGAAACAAAUGAUAUUGUUAGAGCAAUUUAAAUAUUUCAUACGGAGAUCUUAGUAGAGUAGUAGUUCGUCUUAUCUUCACUCCUCGCGCAGUUUCUGGAAGCAAUCACGUUUUUUUUAGCCAUCUGAUGACCAUUUGCUUCAAAUUUCAAGAACACAGCCACAAGAUCUCAUUUACUUGCUCCACAAACCCUGAUGUUCAUCCAAGGCCGAAAUCGUUUAAUUCAUAUUUCUUCACUUGAAAUUCUAAGAAAAUCUUGAAGAGUGGGGACACAUGGGAUCUUAUCUACGCUACUGAAGAAGAUGAAUACGACGUUAUUCCUUCUAAAUGGAGGAAUGGCAAUAAAUGUGCGUUUCCGGACCCUACAGUUUCUAAAAAUGAGCUUAACAACCUCGUCCGAAACUGUGGUGACCCAGGUGAUAAAUGGAGCCAGAUAGACUGUCAAUUCAUCAAAGAGUACGACAAUUUUGAAGAUGCCUGCAUUGACAUGGUCCGUAAAACUAAAAAACGUCGACUGGCCAGUGAAAGCGCAGACGAAACAGCAAAGAAACGAAGAUCAUCAACCCCUCCUAUUUAUGGUGAUUUCUCCAAUGUGAUCAUUCCAGGGAAAAAUUCUAACACAAAGAAAAUUCCCCAACCAAAAAAACAAGAAUCUCCAAAGACAUCUGGUCCCAAAAAUCAAGAAUCUCCAAAGACACCGGGUCCCAAAAAUCUAGAAUCUUCAAAGACAUCGCGUCCCAAAAAUCAAGAAUCUGCGAAGACAUCGGGUCCCAAAAAUCAAGAAUCUCCAAAGACAUCGGGUCCCAAAAAUCAAGAAUCUGCGAAGACAUCGGGUCCCAAAAAUCAAGAAUCUCCAAAGACAUCGGGUCCCAAAAAUCAAGAAUCUCCAAAGACAUCGGGUCCCAAAAAUCAAGAAUCUCCAAAGACAUCGGGUCCCAAAAAUCAAGAAUCUCCAAAGACAUCGGGUCCCCAAAAUCAAGAUUCUCUCAAGACAUCAGAUCCCAAAACACAUCAACAGCAACCAGACAUGAAAAAGCAGCGGCAACCUUGUCAAUGUCCGGUUCCUCAGCGCGACUAUCACAAUUGUGCCAGUGCACCAGCAAUAUCCUUAAAGUCGGUAGCCGCUGCAUUAUGUUAUGCAUCCCGUGCGCAAGAGAAGAGUUACUCGCGAGAGGAAAGACACCACAAAGAAGUCUGCUCAAAACUCGAUGAAAUUUUAAAGGCGGUGAAAGGUUUGAAAAUCACCAACCCAGAAACUGGUGGGAGUGGACCUGCUGCGAUACCUCGCCGCAUUAUUUCCGACUCAGAUGUCGAUCCUGAAGUUCUUGAAGGGCUCCCAAUUUUAAGAACGAAAGUCUUAAAGAAGAUUGUCCGGUUAUUAGAUGAAGAUUCUUCAUUCAAAGACAAACUAAUUGCUACUAUUGUAAAUGAAAAAAUAACCAAAGCCGCCUCAUUUCCCACAGCUACUGCCCGUCAAGUUCUGGCGGAACUUAUUUCUCCCGGAAAGGCAAAGCUUUUUUCUUGGGAUGGAAAGAAAAGAAAUGGUAUCUGCAAAAUUGCUUUCAGCAAACUUCCAUUCAAAGAUAUCGUAUAUGAAGCUACUAGAUACCUCCAUCAUCCGACAGUGAUCCCGGCAGGAUUUCUAGAUUUUUCUUUGGGCCAGUGGUUCUCCCAAGUGAGCAAGAAGGAAGAAAAUUCCAGUAGCCGCCUCCUGAAUGCAACCCAAGUUGGAGAUAUUGAGGACAGUGCAGAUGAGGAAACUGGAGACAAUGAAAGUAUUGAUGUCGGAAAUGAAGAUGAAAAUGAGUUAGAAAAGGAAAUAGAGGAAGAAAAUGAGGAAGAAAAGGAAACUGAGGAAGGAAAUGACGCGGAAAAGGAAAUGGAGGACAACAAUGAGGAACAGGUUAAAAUUUUCAUAUUUCUAUUUUCUGAAGGGUUCAAUCUCAAAGACAUGUGGAGUGCUCGUAUCUAAAAGCACGGGGAAAAAGUGAAGCCUGGUUUGGCUCUGGGUGCUUGUGUGAGUGUGUAAAUGAGCGCGGGAAUCCAUGGCGGCAAACGGAAAUUUGAUUUGAACUUGUCCUCUUGAUUUUUCCACAUUUCUUCUUCUAAACGUAUUUUAAAUGCCUAAAACGAAUAUCUUAAGAAAGUUGGGACUGCGACCUAGUAUAAUACACUUACUUUUUCUCCGUCUACAGGCAGUAAUUACAAAUAAAGUUAGUUUUUCUUCUGCGCAUGGUGAGGCCUGCCGGUUUAAACAGGUCGUUACAGUCCUAGAUGACCAUUACUCCCAAAUGAAAUUAAUCGGUCGACGACGGACCAAAACUAACCUAAAGUUAAAAAAAUAUGAGUGGGUAAGUGAAUUUGGGCAAAAAUCAACCUAGAAUACUUUGUUUUCGCAAUUUUAUUUAGUUCCCGCCCUACAUUUGAAUUUCAAACUUGUCCCGAUUUUGCCGCCAAUCCUCUAGCCAAUAGUAGAGGUGGUUGAACAGAAGCUUCAUAUUUUGCUUUUAGCACUCCAUCUUUAUGUCUUUGGUUCAAUCUAAAGAAAGCUGCUUUAGGGUGAUAUACGGUGCUGCUGAAGCUUUAGUCUGUAGUGUGUGAUGCUAAAGUUUCUUAUUUUUUAAUUUAUAACUGUGCAUAAAUUCCUUGUAGAGAUAUCAGUAAUCAUUCAAUUAUAAGAAAAAAUCACCAAUCAUACUGACUGUGAAACUGCAGACACAUAUAUCUCAGUUUGCAACAUUGCAGACUUCUUGUGGUACCUUAAUUUUUAAUGGAAAUUUCCUGGACGUCUUUUCUUGAAAACUUUUUUGAUGCCUCGUCUUUGUUCAGAGAAUACUCUUUGAAAAUUUUAUGAUAUGAUGUCCGUAUGUUCUCCUAGAGGUUCGUUGGCUAAGUUGGCAUUCGUUUAAUUUUCAUUUGCAAGCGACUGCGAUGUAACUGUCCAAUAGUAAUCAAGGAUUGACUAUGAUGGAUUAGACGCUGCUGCAGUCAUGUCGCAGUCAAUCCUUGAUUCCAGUUGGACUACUGCAUUGCAGCCGCUUGCAAACAGAGAGUAAACUAAUGACAACUUCACUGACAGCACCUCUAUUGAAGAAUAACUGGUGCUAAGAUUUUGUAACACCAUACCCGAGUCAGGCAUUGCUAUAGUUUCACUGUCAGUAUGUGCCUUCGAUGUUACCUCAAACAAAUUGUUCUGAAAGAAGAGAGUGGUCGAAUGCAAAUAGUCUGAGAAUUUGCACAAAUUGUUUGGCAAUUUGGAAAGGCAAGGAAAUUGUUCCUCCAGAUAUUAAUCCUUAAAGCUGCUUUUGUUCCAGAUUGUCCAUGUUCUCCAACAAUUUACUAAGACACGGAAGCCUAGUCUCUGUCUGUUAAUUAUUUUAAUCCUUGAGAGGCCUUCUUUUUUUAACAUUCCUCAAGUUCAGCAACGAUCUACGAAGGUUGCAGAACUGAGAAGUGUGAUGAGUUGUUGCCAAAUAAACGUUUUUACAAGUGGGCGAAAAAUUUUCUGUUGACUUCGAGGCGAUGUGUGUGUUUGCACUUUAAAAGCAGAAAAACUGUAGCAAAAUCUUAGAUACAUUGGCCUCAUUUGUGGCCAGAUCUGUGAAAAAGAGACCUUAUUUUCAGGGUAAUAAUUUUUCUUCUGUUUUUGCCAACAUUUCAACCUCGUUUUCGUACCACAUAAGAAUUCUUGUCGUAGAACUUCAGGACCAAUAUCUGCUUCAAUUUUUAUUUAACAAUUUUCGAUCCAACUGGCAGCAAAAUUUCCUACAUUUCCUCCUCCAUGCAUUUGCAAAAAAGAAAAGAAGAAAAUUUUCUUUUGGAAGAUGAAGUUCCUUUUCACAGAUUCGCCACCUCCAUAAGAAUUUACUUUUUUCCUCUCAUUGUUGCAUUAUUUCCAUACAAAGAGCUUCAUUUGUACCAAAGCAGAGUCUUAUUUUUAUUUUGACUGUUUUGCAAUUGUUUCAGUGAACAACUCCAUCGCGGGCGGCUCCUUCGAUCAUCAUCAUUGAUCUCAGUUUUUUGUUCAUAGAUAAUUAAUCUUGUACUUUUUCUAAUUUGUUUUGUUUGAUAUAUUACAUUUAUAAUGUUAUAUAAUGUGUUUCUCACACUUUAACUAUGAUAUUUAUUCCUCUGACUUUCUUCUUUGAUGUACAGGGUGUCCGGAAGUAAACGCACUUAACUUUAAGGAUCGAUUUUUAGGCUCACAAUAUGACCAUUUUUUCCUAUACCUAUAUACCCGGAAAUGCUUCAUAAGUGAGCUAUGCGCAUCCAAAAGUGGCAUUUUUUUCUUUCAAACUAAUGUAAAUCCCCGUUAUUUUGUUGUGAAUGACAGAAACUGGAAGUCUAGAGGUAUUUUUAGCACACUGUUCAUUUUUUAUUAUGUUUUCAAGGACAUUCUUCUUCAAAAAAUGAUGUUACGAGCCUUCCCGAAUUUUAAAAUUAUGAUAACUUUUAUGGUAGUUGACGUUUAGAACAAUGGAUCAUGGCAUGUGAAAUAGAGGCUACCGAGUAUUGGUCUUGCACGUGUUGUAAUCUGUUUUUCCAAACAUCAUCUACCAAAUAAGUUAUUGCAAUUUUAAAAUUCCGAAAGGCUUGUAACGUCAUCUUCCAAAGAUGUACGUCCUUAAAAACAUAAAAAAUUAACAGUACGCUACAAAAUACCCCCAGACCUAUAAGUUCAACCACUUACGACUAAAUGACGAGAAGUUGCAUCAAUUAGAAAGGACCUAAUGGCAACUUUAGAAGCGCAUAGCUCACUUAUGAAGCGUUUUCGGGCAUGUGUAUAGGAAAAAAUAGUCAUAUUUUGAGCCGAAGAAUCGGUUGUGAAAGUCAUAAACGUUAACUUCCGGACACCCUGUAUAAUAUCAAAAUUGUUCCAUGUCUAUUAAGAUGUUUAUCUCACACUCUCGAUGUGUGAUUUGUAUCUGUCUCACUUUCUUCUUUGAUGUGCCACAUUAACAUUUUUUAUUCGUUAUUAAAACGAUUCUUUCACAACUGCAUUAUUCAUUAAAACGAUUCUUUCACAAUUGUAUUAAAAUACUGUGGCCAUUUUGUUGUCUCACUUUCUUCUUUGAUGUGCCACAUUAACAUUUUUUAUUCGUUCAUUAAAACGAUUCUUUCACAAUUGUAUUAAAAUACUGUGGCCAUUUUGUUACUACAAUUGUAGAGAUAGGCCUUUUUUAUGUUCUAGUUUUCUUUUGCGAGAGAGACUUCGAACCUAUCAAAUGAGGCACAAGUGCCUCAGUCAUACAUAGAAUUUGCAUGUUGCGAGCUAGUUUUUUUCUGAUGUCUUGGGAGAUUCUCUGAAGACUUUUUUUUCCUCUCUUUUUGUUGGAAGGGAGGUCAAUAAUUUAAAAUUGUUAUUCAAGUCUUGCGAGAACUUGAGAAAAGCAAAGGCUUUGUAUUAUUCCUUAAUUUCUGUGUUGAAAAUCUGUUGUGAGCCCAAUAUUCCUAGUUUUGUAAUUUUUCAUUGGAAUGUGCUCUAAUGUAAUGACUAAGCAUUGUCUUUUUAUCUGUUUUUCACUCAACGAAUUCAUUAAUAUCUGUCAAUGCAAAGGUCUCCUUUCUUGAAGCCGCCCACUAACAGGAAGGGCUGUACUUGCUAAUUUAUGUUUAUUAAAAUUCAGUGUUAGUUUUAUGAAUUAAAAGUUCAAUAAUUUCUCCACUUUACUGAGAAACUCAGUUGAUUUCCCCCAACAAUCACAAAUCUUCAUCUUCUAACGACCAUUUAUACACAUACAUGUAUUUACCGUUCAUCUUUUUAUUGCCAUUAAAAUGAGCAACUAAAGAUUGAAAGGUUUCAAAAUGUACAGAAAGCAUUCUUUUCAUACAUUUUUCGUCGAUAGUUAUUGUGAUAUUCUCACAUUUUUGUCAAUUUCUGUCAAUAUAUUUUUUUUUCCCUUCAUAUGAAGCGCAUUGAUUUUUUUAAAUGAACCAUUACUGAAAAUUCGUUCAGAGGAAAUAAGUUGUACAUUUUUUUAAUUAAAUUGUUAAGUCAUUCUUUUAUGUGGCAGCUAAGCCGUCAUUAAAGGAAGUAGAUGCUCUUUUUUUUUUUAAAGUAUCCUACAAGAAUUAUUUUUGUAAAAUGUUUACAAUUUAUUAUGUACUCCUUAAAAAUAAUUAUGUAAUGAAGACGUAGGUAUUAUUUUCUUUGAAUAGCCUCUUAAGGAUUCUACCUAUUCACUUCUCACGUUUAUUAUAUAAAUUUUGAGUCGAUCACUAAGAAACAAUCAAGGUGACCUUUAAUUAAGGAUCUUGUCGAUAUUAUUUCCUUUGAACAGCCUUUUAGAUAUUAAUAUCUUUGUAAAAGUUUGUUCAAAGGAAAUAACAUCAACGCGAUCAUUACUUAAAUUUUAGGUUAAUCAUUAAUUAACCUAAA